rnacentral:rRNA from 1 species
GACGCAGGGGGCUAGCGUUGUCCGGAUUUAUUGGGCGUAAAGAGCGUGUAGGCGGCCAGGUAGGUCUGCUGUGAAAACUCGAGGCUUAACCUCGAGAUGUCGGCGGAAACCAUCUGGCUAGAGUCCGGAAGAGGAGAGUGGAAUUCCUGGUGUAGCGGUGAAAUGCGCAGAUAUCAGGAAGAACACCCGUGGCGAAGGCGGCUCUCUGGGACGGUACUGACGCUGAGACGCGAAAGCGUGGGGAGCGAACAGG